UGCGUUCAUAGCUCAGUUGGUUAGAGCACCACCUUGACAUGGUGGGGGUCGUUGGUUCGAGUCCAAUUGAACGCACCAU
rnacentral:tRNA from 37 species